rnacentral:rRNA from 1 species
CUGGCUCAGAACGAACGCUGGCGGCAGGUCUUAGGCAUGCAAGUCGAACGGAUGACAGAGAGCUUGCUCUCUGAAGUCAGUGGCGCACGAGUGAGUAACGCGUGGGAAACUGCCCUUCACUGGGGAAUAACGUUUGGAAACGAACGCUAAUACCGCAUACGCCCGCAAGGGGAAAGAUUUAUCGGUGAUGGAUGUGCCCGCGUUGGAUUAGCUAGUUGGUGGGGUAAUAGCCUACCAAGGCGAUGAUCCAUAGCUGGUCUGAGAGGACGAUCAGCCACGCUGGAACUGAGACACGGUCCAGACUCCUACGGGAGGCAGCAGCUAAGAAUAUUGGGCAAUGGAGGAAACUCUGACCCAGCCAAUGCCGCGUGAAUGAAGAAGGCCUUCGGGUUGUAAAGUUCUUUUAGUCAUGAAGAUGAUGACAGUAGUGACAGAAAAAGCACCGGCUAACUUCGUGCCAGCAGCCGC